GACUAACCCUUAUGUGCAGCGCUUCCUGGUGGGUUCUUCCCACUGUCUUUAUCCCCUUUAGGUUCCUGUACUAGCCUUCUGGCUUUCACUGUCCCCAUUAUGGCCUGGUAUUCAUUUUUCAU